AUUGAACGCUGGCGGCAGGCCUAACACAUGCAAGUCGAACGGUAACAGGAAGCAGCUUGCUGCUUCGCUGAUGAGUGGCGGACGGGUGAGUAAUGUCUGGGAAACUGCCUGAUGGAGGGGGAUAACUACUGGAAACGGUAGCUAAUACCGCAUAACGUCGCAAGACCAAAGAGGGGGACCUUCGGGCCUCUUGCCAUCGGAUGUGCCCAGAUGGGAUUAGCUAGUAGGUGGGGUAACGGCUCACCUAGGCGACGAUCCCUAGCUGGUCUGAGAGGAUGACCAGCCACACUGGAACUGAGACACGGUCCAGACUCCUACGGGAGGCAGCAGUGGGGAAUAUUGCACAAUGGGCGCAAGCCUGAUGCAGCCAUGCCGCGUGUAUGAAGAAGGCCUUCGGGUUGUAAAGUACUUUCAGCGGGGAGGAAGGGAGUAAAGUUAAUACCUUUACUCAUUGACGUUACCCGCAGAAGAAGCACCGGCUAACUCCGUGCCAGCAGCCGCGGUAAUACGGAGGGUGCAAGCGUUAAUCGGAAUUACUGGGCGUAAAGCGCACGCAGGCGGUUUGUUAAGUCAGAUGUGAAAUCCCCGGGCUCAACCUGGGAACUGCAUCUGAUACUGGCAAACUUGAGUCUCGUAGAGGGGGGUAGAAUUCCAGGUGUAGCGGUGAAAUGCGUAGAGAUCUGGAGGAAUACCGGUGGCGAAGGCGGCCCCCUGGACGAAGACUGACGCUCAGGU
rnacentral:rRNA from 1 species